GUCAAUGCCUACCCUGAAGGAGCCCGAUCUCGUCUGAUCUCGGAAGCUAAGCAGGGUCGAGCCUGGUUAGUACUUGGAUGGGAGAUCGCCUGGGAAUACCAGGUACCGUAGGCU
rnacentral:rRNA from 1 species